rnacentral:lncRNA from 1 species
GAAGACAUCAAGAAAAGUCUAACCCUUUUGACAUUAUUCACACUACUCCAAACAACAUCAUUUAGCACCACAUGAGCUAAGUAUUUUUGACAGCCUUUUAAAACAAUCUCUUUGCUUUCACAGCAUAAAUAAUGGCUGAACUCACUUCACUUUGCAUACUUACAAAAGUAAUCUCUGGUCAUCCAGAUCGAUGGAAAGUACUGGUUUCCCGUAACAUUCCGUCUUGUCACAAUUAUAACCAACCAAUCUAAUGGAACAGAAUUAACUGAUACAAUAUAUAUUCUAUUAUUAAGCAUU